rnacentral:rRNA from 1 species
UGAGGCUCUGGGUCACCUCCCACCCGUGUUUAUUUUACCUUGUUGCUUCGGCGGGCCCGCCUUAACUGGCCGCCGGGGGGCUUACGCCCCCGGGCCCGCGCCCGCCGAAGACACCCUCGAACUCUGUCUGAAGAUUGUAGUCUGAGUGAAAAUAUAAAUUAUUUAAAACUUUCAACAACGGAUCUCUUGGUUCCGGCAUCGAUGAAGAACGCAGCGAAAUGCGAUACGUAAUGUGAAUUGCAAAUUCAGUGAAUCAUCGAGUCUUUGAACGCACAUUGCGCCCCCUGGUAUUCCGGGGGGCAUGCCUGUCCGAGCGUCAUUGCUGCCCUCAAGCACGGCUUGUGUGUUGGGCCCCGUCCUCCGAUCCCGGGGGACGGGCCCGAAAGGCAGCGGCGGCACCGCGUCCGGUCCUCGAGCGUAUGGGGCUUUGUCACCCGCUCUGUAGGCCCGGCCGGCGCUUGCCGAUCAACCCAAAUUUUUAUCCAGGUUGACCUCGGAUCAGGUAGGGAUACCCGCUGAACUUAA